CUUCGAGACCUAGUUCAAUUUUACCAUUCUAUAAUCAUCCCCAACCGUUUGUGGUCCUCUAAUCUCAGAGCUUAACCCAGGAAAAAGUUGGCAGAUUCUAAAGGAAUAAUGACCUAUCUUGUAAAAACCCUGAAGACCUCUUAGCCAUUAGGAUACCGUUCUAAUUUUAAAUAAACAGUUUCGCAGAAGCAA